rnacentral:rRNA from 1 species
ACAGUUUGAUUCUGGCUCAGGACGAACGCUGGCGGCGUGCUUAACACAUGCAAGUCGAGCGAUGAAGCACCUUCGGGUGUGGAUUAGCGGCGAACGGGUGAGGAACACGUGAAGAAUCUGCCUUCAACUCUGGGAUAACUCCGGGAAACCGGGGCUAAUACCGGAUAUGAGCCUUGGCCGCAUGGCCGGGGCUGGAAAGUUUUUCGGUUGAAGAUGACUUCGCGGCCUAUCAGCUUGUUGGUGAGGUAACGGCUCACCAAGGCGACGACGGGUAGCCGGCCUGAGAGGGCGACCGGCCACACUGGGACUGAGACACGGCCCAGACUCCUACGGGAGGCAGCAGUGGGGAAUAUUGGGCAAUGGAGGAAACUCUGACCCAGCGACGCCGCGUGAGGGAUGAAGGCCUUCGGGUUGUAAACCUCUUUCAGUAGGGAAGAAGCGAAAGUGACGGUACCUACAGAAGAAGCACCGGCUAACUAUGUGCCAGCAGCCGCGGUAAUACAUAGGGUGCAAGCGUUGUCCGGAAUUAUUGGGCGUAAAGAGCUCGUAGGUGGUUCGAUACGUCGGAUGUGAAAAUCAGGGGCUCAACCCCUGACCUGCAUUCGAUACGGGCAAACUAGAGUUUGGUAGGGGAGACUGGAAUUCCUGGUGUAGCGGUGGAAUGCGCAGAUAUCAGGAGGAACACCGAUGGCGAAGGCAGGUCUCUGGGCCAAUACUGACACUGAGGAGCGAAAGCGUGGGGAGCGAACAGGAUUAGAUACCCUGGUAGUCCACGCCGUAAACGGUGGGCGCUAGUUGUGCGAACCUUCCACGGUUUGUGCGACGCAGCUAACGCAUUAAGCGCCCCGCCUGGGGAGUACGGUCGCAAGACUAAA